rnacentral:miRNA from 1 species
ACCCUUCUGGUCGACGAGGUACAAGUACCUUGUCGACUGGAAGGAGACCCUUCCAGCCGGCGACCUGCUUGUCUUCCAGUCGACGAGGUACUUGUACCUCGUCGACCGGAAGGGC